rnacentral:rRNA from 1 species
UCAAUGAAAUUUAAAUAGCCGCAAUAUAUCUGUGCUAAGGUAGCAUAAUAAUUUGUCUUUUAAUUAAAGACUAGAACAAAAGAUUUAACAUUUUUAUUUCUUUCUUAACAAUAUAUAAUAUUUAAAUUAUCUUAAAUAUAAAAAGAUAUUUUUUUUUAAAAAAGACGAUAAGACCCUAUUGAACUUAACUAAAGUUAAACUGGGGUAGUUAAUUAAAUAUAAUUUUAAUUGAAAAUCAACAAAUACCUAAUACAAUUAAAUUAAUCAAGUUACCAUAGGGAUAACAGCGUAAUAAUUUUUUAUAGCUCUUAUUUAAAAAAUAAUUUACGACCUCGAUGUUGAAUUAAUAAUCUAUUAAAUGCAAUAAUUUAAUAAGAAAGUC